rnacentral:rRNA from 1 species
ACGCUGGCGGCGUGCUUAACACAUGCAAGUCGAACGGUAAGGCCCUUCGGGGUACACGAGUGGCGAACGGGUGAGUAACACGUGGGUAAUCUGCCCUGCACUUCGGGAUAAGCCUGGGAAACUGGGUCUAAUACCGGAUAUUCAGCUUCUGCCGCAUGGUGGUUGUUGGAAAGUUUUUCGGUGCAGGAUGUGCCCGCGGCCUAUCAGCUUGUUGGUGGGGUAAUGGCCUACCAAGGCGACGACGGGUAGCCGGCCUGAGAGGGUGAUCGGCCACAUUGGGACUGAGACACGGCCCAGACUCCUACGGGAGGCAGCAGUGGGGAAUAUUGCACAAUGGGCGCAAGCCUGAUGCAGCGACGCCGCGUGAGGGAUGACGGUCUUCGGAUUGUAAACCUCUUUCGGCAGGGACGAAGCGCAAGUGACGGUACCUGCAGAAGAAGCACCGGCCAACUACGUGCCAGCAGCCGCGGUAAUACGUAGGGUGCGAGCGUUGUCCGGAAUUACUGGGCGUAA